rnacentral:lncRNA from 1 species
GCCCGACAUGAUCCAGGCCCUGUGCUAGCCUAGCUUUUUUAAAAAAUUUAAAAAUAUAAUUUUUUUAUAAAUUAUAAAAGUGUUAAAGAGUAAAAUUAAAAAUAGAUGUGAGAUUUUUUUUGUAAAAACAAAAUACCAUCUUGUAAUGGUAGGGGGUUUGGUAUGGACCCCUAUCAGUUUAUUAAUAGCAAUCAAAAUGGUACA